rnacentral:lncRNA from 1 species
UUAAUAUAAAGAUUUCCUUAGUAAAGACACACUUUUAACAAUUAAUCAUAGAAUAAGAUAUUAAUAAGAAUAAAAGCCUGAUAAAUAGGGAGAGAAAAUGAAGUGAUUAUACUUACUGAAAAGUGCUCAUUAUCCCUAAUACAAACACACAUCUUCUGCACUUUGUCUUCUUAGAAACUUCAAAUGAUUCUGCAGGCAUGCUCUUGUCACAGCUUGACCCCGAAAAUAUAGAACACUAGUUACAGAUCCCUCUUUUCAAAAGCCCACAACAGCUAAAACAGAGGAACCCACACAACAAUUGAACCUCGAAAAUAGAGGAACCCACACAACAAUUGAACCAAAAUGUAACCCAGUACUUUUAAUAAUAUAUUGAUCCAAAUUCUAAAAGCAUAUCGAAAAUAAUUUCAGGUACGAACUCUACAUUAGAAAGUAAACAGAGACGAUUUAGAUCAAAGAAGAGUAUGAUAAAAUACAGACCUUUAAUGUUUAGAUUACGCCGAAUUAUUUUGUCGAGAUGAUGAUGACGAGGGGGAACUGAGGCCUGCUAUGAUGAAGAAAGGAAAUUAAACCCUGAUUUGUGAGUUGAAAAGGGGAAACUUAUUGUGCGCUUUGGAUAAAAGGGGCGAAAAGAAGAGGGAAUUUUUCCCGGUUCCAUAAAUUUGAGUCAAAUAUCCAA